GCGAGGGUGCCGGAGUGGUCAAACGGGCAGCCCCGAGGAGGCUGUGACUUAGUGUCUACGCGUGUUCAAGUCACGUCCCUCGCA
rnacentral:tRNA from 1 species